GGUUAAGCGACUAAGCGUACACGGUGGAUGCCCUGGCAGUCAGAGGCGAUGAAGGACGUGCUAAUCUGCGAUAAGCGUCGGUAAGGUGAUAUGAACCGUUAUAACCGGCGAUUUCCGAAUGGGGAAACCCAGUGUGAUUCGUCACACUAUCAUUAACUGAAUCCAUAGGUUAAUGAGGCGAACCGGGGGAACUGAAACAUCUAAGUACCCCGAGGAAAAGAAAUCAACCGAGAUUCCCCCAGUAGCGGCGAGCGAACGGGGAGCAGCCCAGAGCCUGAAUCAGUGUGUGUGUUAGUGGAAGCGUCUGGAAAGGCGCGCGAUACAGGGUGACAGCCCCGUACACAAAAAUGCACAUACUGUGAGCUCGAUGAGUAGGGCGGGACACGUGGUAUCCUGUCUGAAUAUGGGGGGACCAUCCUCCAAGGCUAAAUACUCCUGACUGACCGAUAGUGAACCAGUACCGUGAGGGAAAGGCGAAAAGAACCCCGGCGAGGGGAGUGAAAAAGAACCUGAAACCGUGUACGUACAAGCAGUGGGAGCACGCUUAGGCGUGUGACUGCGUACCUUUUGUAUAAUGGGUCAGCGACUUAUAUUCUGUAGCAAGGUUAACCGAAUAGGGGAGCCGAAGGGAAACCGAGUCUUAACUGGGCGUUAAGUUGCAGGGUAUAGACCCGAAACCCGGUGAUCUAGCCAUGGGCAGGUUGAAGGUUGGGUAACACUAACUGGAGGACCGAACCGACUAAUGUUGAAAAAUUAGCGGAUGACUUGUGGCUGGGGGUGAAAGGCCAAUCAAACCGGGAGAUAGCUGGUUCUCCCCGAAAGCUAUUUAGGUAGCGCCUCGUGAAUUCAUCUCCGGGGGUAGAGCACUGUUUCGGCAAGGGGGUCAUCCCGACUUACCAACCCGAUGCAAACUGCGAAUACCGGAGAAUGUUAUCACGGGAGACACACGGCGGGUGCUAACGUCCGUCGUGAAGAGGGAAACAACCCAGACCGCCAGCUAAGGUCCCAAAGUCAUGGUUAAGUGGGAAACGAUGUGGGAAGGCCCAGACAGCCAGGAUGUUGGCUUAGAAGCAGCCAUCAUUUAAAGAAAGCGUAAUAGCUCACUGGUCGAGUCGGCCUGCGCGGAAGAUGUAACGGGGCUAAACCAUGCACCGAAGCUGCGGCAGCGACGCUUAUGCGUUGUUGGGUAGGGGAGCGUUCUGUAAGCCUGCGAAGGUGUGCUGUGAGGCAUGCUGGAGGUAUCAGAAGUGCGAAUGCUGACAUAAGUAACGAUAAAGCGGGUGAAAAGCCCGCUCGCCGGAAGACCAAGGGUUCCUGUCCAACGUUAAUCGGGGCAGGGUGAGUCGACCCCUAAGGCGAGGCCGAAAGGCGUAGUCGAUGGGAAACAGGUUAAUAUUCCUGUACUUGGUGUUACUGCGAAGGGGGGACGGAGAAGGCUAUGUUGGCCGGGCGACGGUUGUCCCGGUUUAAGCGUGUAGGCUGGUUUUCCAGGCAAAUCCGGAAAAUCAAGGCUGAGGCGUGAUGACGAGGCACUACGGUGCUGAAGCAACAAAUGCCCUGCUUCCAGGAAAAGCCUCUAAGCAUCAGGUAACAUCAAAUCGUACCCCAAACCGACACAGGUGGUCAGGUAGAGAAUACCAAGGCGCUUGAGAGAACUCGGGUGAAGGAACUAGGCAAAAUGGUGCCGUAACUUCGGGAGAAGGCACGCUGAUAUGUAGGUGAAGUCCCUCGCGGAUGGAGCUGAAAUCAGUCGAAGAUACCAGCUGGCUGCAACUGUUUAUUAAAAACACAGCACUGUGCAAACACGAAAGUGGACGUAUACGGUGUGACGCCUGCCCGGUGC
rnacentral:rRNA from 1 species